GAUGAACGCUGGCGGCGUGCCUAAUACAUGCAAGUCGAGCGAACGGACGAGAAGCUUGCUUCUCUGAUGUUAGCGGCGGACGGGUGAGUAACACGUGGAUAACCUACCUAUAAGACUGGGAUAACUUCGGGAAACCGGAGCUAAUACCGGAUAAUAUUUUGAACCGCAUGGUUCAAAAGUGAAAGACGGUCUUGCUGUCACUUAUAGAUGGAUCCGCGCUGCAUUAGCUAGUUGGUAAGGUAACGGCUUACCAAGGCAACGAUGCAUAGCCGACCUGAGAGGGUGAUCGGCCACACUGGAACUGAGACACGGUCCAGACUCCUACGGGAGGCAGCAGUGGGGAAUCUUCCGCAAUGGGCGAAAGCCUGACGGAGCAACGCCGCGUGAGUGAUGAAGGUCUUCGGAUCGUAAAACUCUGUUAUUAGGGAAGAACAUAUGUGUAAGUAACUGUGCACGUCUUGACGGUACCUAAUCAGAAAGCCACGGCUAACUACGUG
rnacentral:rRNA from 1 species